rnacentral:rRNA from 1 species
CUUUUAUACGGCGAGACUGCGAAUGGCUCAUUAAAACAGUUAUAGUUUAUUUGCUAAUCGUGUAUAUGGAUAACCGUAGUAAUUCUAGAGCUAAUACAUGCUGUUACGCUGUGCGUAGUAUUUAUUAGAUAAGCCAACGUGGAGGACUCAUGAUAACUUUGCGGACCCCUUUUGGGGCGAAGCAUUCAAGUUUCUGCCCUAUCAGCUUGGAUGGUAGUGUAUUGGACUACCAUGGCGAUGACGGGUGACGGGGAAUUAGGGUUCGAUUCCGGAGAGGGAGCCUGAGAAACGGCUACCACAUCUAAGGAAGGCAGCAGGCGCGCAAAUUACCCAAUCCUAAUUCAGGGAGGUAGUGACAAGAAAUAACAACGAGGGGCUUUGCCUCUCGAUUGCAAUGAGUACAAUGUAAAAGCCUUAACGAGGACCCACUGGAGGGCAAGUCUGGU